AUUGAACGCUGGCGGCAUGCCUUACACAUGCAAGUCGAACGGCAGCAUGGAGAGCUUGCUCUCUGAUGGCGAGUGGCGAACGGGUGAGUAAUGCAUCGGAACGUGUCCGGAAGUGGGGGAUAACGCAGCGAAAGUUGCGCUAAUAACGCAUAUGCCCUGAGGGGGAAAGGAGGGGAUCGUAAGACCUUUCGCUUUCGGAGUGGCCGAUAUCGGAUUAGCUAGUUGGUGAGGUAAAGGCUCACCAAGGCGACGAUCCGUAGCUGGUCUGAGAGGACGACCAGCCACACUGGGACUGAGACACGGCCCAGACUCCUACGGGAGGCAGCAGUGUGGAAUUUUGGACAAUGGGGGCAACCCUGAUCCAGCCAUGCCGCGUGAGUGAAGAAGGCCUUCGGGUUGUAAAGCUCUUUCGGACAGAAAGAAAUCGUAUCCGCUAAUACCGGGUAUGGAUGACGGUACUGUAAGAAGAAGCACCGGCUAACUACGUGCCAGCCGCCGCAGUAAUAC
rnacentral:rRNA from 1 species